rnacentral:rRNA from 1 species
GAUUAGAGUUUGAUCCGGGCUCAGGACGAACGCUGGCGGCGUGCCUAAUACAUGCAAGUCGAACGAACUCUGGUAUUGAUUGGUGCUUGCAUCAUGAUUUACAUUUGAGUGAGUGGCGAACUGGUGGGUAACACGUGGGAAACCUGCCCAGAAGCGGGGGAUAACACCUGGAAACAGAUGCUAAUACCGCAUAACAACUUGGACCGCAUGGUCCGAGCUUGAAAGAUGGCUUCGGCUAUCACUUUUGGAUGGUCCCGCGGCGUAUUAGCUAGAUGGUGGGGUAACGGCUCACCAUGGCAAUGAUACGUAGCCGACCUGAGAGGGUAAUCGGCCACAUUGGGACUGAGACACGGCCCAAACUCCUACGGGAGGCAGCAGUAGGGAAUCUUCCACAAUGGACGAAAGUCUGAUGGAGCAACGCCGCGUGAGUGAAGAAGGGUUUCGGCUCGUAAAACUCUGUUGUUAAAGAAGAACAUAUCUGAGAGUAACUGUUCAGGUAUUGACGGUAUUUAACCAGAAAGCCACGGCUAACUACGUGCCAGCAGCCGCGGUAAUACGUAGGUGGCAAGCGUUGUCCGGAUUUAUUGGGCGUAAAGCGAGCGCAGGCGGUUUUUUAAGUCUGAUGUGAAAGCCUUCGGCUCAACCGAAGAAGUGCAUCGGAAACUGGGAAACUUGAGUGCAGAAGAGGACAGUGGAACUCCAUGUGUAGCGGUGAAAUGCGUAGAUAUAUGGAAGAACACCAGUGGCGAAGGCGGCUGUCUGGUCUGUAACUGACGCUGAGGCUCGAAAGUAUGGGUAGCAAACAGGAUUAGAUACCCUGGUAGUCCAUACCGUAAACGAUGAAUGCUAAGUGUUGGAGGGUUUCCGCCCUUCAGUGCUGCAGCUAACGCAUUAAGCAUUCCGCCUGGGGAGUACGGCCGCAAGGCUGAAACUCAAAGGAAUUGACGGGGGCCCGCACAAGCGGUGGAGCAUGUGGUUUAAUUCGAAGCUACGCGAAGAACCUUACCAGGUCUUGACAUACUAUGCAAAUCUAAGAGAUUAGACGUUCCCUUCGGGGACAUGGAUACAGGUGGUGCAUGGUUGUCGUCAGCUCGUGUCGUGAGAUGUUGGGUUAGGUCCCGCAACGAGCGCAACCCUUAUUAUCAGUUGCCAGCAUUAAGUUGGGCACUCUGGUGAGACUGCCGGUGACAAACCGGAGGAAGGUGGGGAUGACGUCAAAUCAUCAUGCCCCUUAUGACCUGGGCUACACACGUGCUACAAUGGAUGGUACAACGAGUUGCGAACUCGCGAGAGUAAGCUAAUCUCUUAAAGCCAUUCUCAGUUCGGAUUGUAGGCUGCAACUCGCCUACAUGAAGUCGGAAUCGCUAGUAAUCGCGGAUCAGCAUGCCGCGGUGAAUACGUUCCCGGGCCUUGUACACACCGCCCGUCACACCAUGAGAGUUUGUAACACCCAAAGUCGGUGGGGUAACCUUUUAGGAACCAGCCGCCUAAGGUGGGACAGAUGAUUAGGGUGAAGUCGUAACAAGGUAACCA